UCGCUUCCGUGCCCACCUUAUGAAAAUGGCAAAUACGUCUCGUGUGUUGUUUGUACCAAGUGAACAUCGAACGAUUCAUAUCAGAAAGACAGAAAAAAAGCUGUGUGUUUUACGUGAAACUAGAAAUAGCUAAGAAUGUUGUAGAGGUAGGAUAAAUAAAGAACUAAAUAUUUCUUGUCCUAAAUGACAAAUGGAAUAAACUAAGCUGCAUGUCACAAAGCUUACGUCAAAAUCGCAAAUCUGUUAAACCUCUUGUAAUAAUCAUCAACUUGCAAAAUUAUCAAUUCAAAACUUUCUCAUUCUUUUUGAAACUAUACAAUAUGUAUCGAAACAUUUUUCAAUUUCAAUACAAAAUAUAAUUUGCUGAAACAUUUGAUUAAUAGUCAAUAAUAAACAUUUAUAAUGUAACUGUAAUACAAAGUUAUCAUAGAAUUUUCUUUAAUUAUUUUCUCAGUUUUGAUGAAAUUUUCAAUAAAGACUUACGUUAGAUAAUUGUC
rnacentral:misc_RNA from 1 species